CGACCGGCCCGGGGGGCGCUAAUAACGGGGAACGGGAGGAGCUGCGCUGCUGGGGCCGGGGCUGGCUGUGCAGGGGGAGGAAGACGGCGUGAACGCCGAUCUGCUUUCACUGCAAAGCCUUUGUUUGAAGUGAGCUGUCGCCCCAAAACUGGCCCUCACGCACAGAUGAGGACCCUUCACCAAAAAUGCCUGACUUCUGUAAGAUGCACCAUUCCUGAAGUGGGAAGGAUGGGAGCUGGGAAAAAAAAAAAGCACACAGCACAGAGGAUGCUUUCUGCAUUGAGAAGUACCUCUUCUCAUGGAACAACCUUUUCGUCAUUAUAAGAAGAGGAUUUAUGGCUGCACAGAAGGUGGAUCAACAGAACGAUUCCCAUUUCACAGCAAAACAGAGAUGGGUUGCUCAGACGGUGGCAGACCUGGAAGAGGAUCUGGAUCUCUGGAGCCUUCAGUUCAUUUCAGCCUACUUGGUUACAGGUUCCUUGCCUUGCAAUAAAUAUAUGAUCAAUAAAAGAUAAUUCUGUCAAGGUGUUAAAGGCAAUUAGACAUACAAGAUUCAUCUUGUAUGUUUUCAAAGAUUUAAAGCUCCCUGUAGAAUGACUGUCUUCUGCCAGUUGUUCUUUAUAGGAAUCAGAAAAUAUUCCUGUGAUUUCUUCAAAACCAGCAUUUCCCAACUGUAUGUAUCAUCAGUGAAUCAAAUAGAGACAAAUCUUGUCUCUCAUUUCCAGUUAAGCCUGUCAUGUUAUAUGGCACUACAUAAUAUAUCAAGAAACAAAUGCAGCUGAUCUGGCAUGUCAUUGCUGCAAAAGGAAAUGAAACAAAUGCAGAUUUAUGAAAGAAGGCCCAUUUUUGGCACCAGUCAUGGACUUCCUGGCUGACUGCUAAUACCAAAGUGCAGAUUGUCUAUUUUAUGUUAGCAAGGGGAAAUCCCAGUAAUUCAUACCACAGCAUUAAAACACAGGAAUCUAAAAAUAGCAUGAAAGAGCUGGACUGGAAACAACAAUAAAA
ensembl:lncRNA